ACAUCACCGACCCACAGCAGCUUGAGGACAAUAAAAAAUCAAACAAGCAAAUUAAACGAUUUUUGGUCGUUGAUCAAGAUGUCUACAAAAUCUACGGUCCCAAGCUAACUAAAUAUUUAGAGGCCAACAAUGUCCUGUACAAAAUCUUAGCUCUACCCACCACUGAGGAGAACAAAUCCAUGAAAAUGGUCUUGAAGAUCCUAGAGGAGGUCGAUAACUUCUCCCUUGACCGCCGCACAGAGCCCAUCAUUGCCAUUGGUGGAGGGGUGUGCCUGGACAUAGUGGGACUGGCUGCCUCACUCUACAGAAGACGCACCCCUUACAUCAGGGUUCCAACCACACUGCUUUCCUACAUCGAUGCCAGCAUAGGAGCAAAGACUGGGGUUAACUUUGCAAAUUGCAAGAACAAGCUGGGUGCCUACAUUCCACCCGCCGCUAGCUUCCUUGACCUGUCCUUCAUACAAACUGUUCCACGGAGACACAUUUCCAACGGGCUAGCAGAGAUGUUGAAGAUGGCCUUGAUGAAACACAGAGGCCUCUUUGAGCUACUAGAGACACACGGCCGUAUGCUGUUGGACACUAAGUUCCAGGUGGACAACGGUGUAUACGGACGCAACUGCUUACAGGCUGCAUCACAAUCAACUCGUAUAGCCAUUGUAACCAUGCUGGAGGAGCUUGUCCCAAACCUUUGGGAGGAUGACCUAAACAGACUUGUGGACUUUGGCCACCUUAUCAGCCCAGCAUUAGAGAUGGUAAUUGAUCCCUAGUAGCAGACAUAGCUUAACACGUAAAUCAAAUGUUUAUACAUGCUAUUGUUCAUACAGUAUUUUUGUCUCUUUUCAUUUAACAGAAAGUUCUCCCAUCUCUGCUGCAUGGUGAGGCAGUAAACAUUGAUAUGUCGUACAUGGUUUAUGUGUCCAAAGAGAGUGGUCUAUUGACAGAGGGCGAAAAGCAAAGGAUCAUCAGCUGCAUGGUGGGCCUUGAGCUGCCUGUCUGGCAUGAGG
rnacentral:lncRNA from 1 species